UACAGAGGGUGCGAGCGUUAAUCGGAAUUACUGGGCGUAAAGCGUGCGCAGGCGGUUUUGUAAGCCAGAUGUGAAAUCCCCGGGCUUAACCUGGGAAUGGCAUUUGGGACUGCAAGGCUUGAGUGCGGCAGAGGAGACUGGAAUUCCUGGUGUAGCAGUGAAAUGCGUAGAUAUCAGGAGGAACACCGAUGGCGAAGGCAGGUCUCUGGGCUGACACUGACGCUCAUGCACGAAAGCGUGGGGAGCAAACAGG
rnacentral:rRNA from 1 species